GGAAUUUUCCGCAAUGGGCGAAAGCCUGACGGAGCAACGCCGCGUGAGGGAUGAAGGCCUCUGGGCUGUAAACCUCUUUUAUCAAGGAAGAAGAUCUGACGGUACUUGAUGAAUAAGCCACGGCUAAUUCCGUGCCAGCAGCCGCGGUAAUACGGGAGUGGCAAGCGUUAUCCGGAAUUAUUGGGCGUAAAGCGUCCGCAGGCGGCCCUUCAAGUCUGCUGUUAAAAAGUGGAGCUUAACUCCAUCAUGGCAGUGGAAACUGUUGGGCUUGAGUGUGGUAGGGGCAGAGGGAAUUCCCGGUGUAGCGGUGAAAUGCGUAGAUAUCGGGAAGAACACCAGUGGCGAAGGCGCUCUGCUGGGCCAUAACUGACGCUCAUGGACGAAAGCCAGGGGAGCGAAAGGGAUUAGAUACCCCUGUAGUC
rnacentral:rRNA from 1 species